UUUUGGUUGCGGGACAUCACCGUGUUGUUGUGUUUUGUCGAGUGAAAACUGCGAUUGUAGCCGGGGCUGCUGUCCAGGAAGUAGGGCGCUGUGCGCUGGUUCUCUUGCCCAUAUAUGGAAGAGGCGGUGACAGAGCACACCUGGUGGGGAUGAGACAGCCUGAGUUAAAGAGCCACACUGGAUCAUCAGCUGGCCUUUCUAACAGAUAUUACCAUCACCUGAACUCUGUCAACCUGCAGCUCCAGGGAAGAGACAAGUUGCCAAGUGACAUGAUGAGGGCAAUCAGAGCUUUCCAGAACAAAAUAACUGCUCUGUGGAGAUCUGACAAAGACCUCACACACUUCCCAGGACUGAAAGAAAAAGCCAAAAGUGAGCGUACUCUGCAGCAGAGCUUCAGCUACAGUGGUUUAGUUGAAGUUUUGGAGCUGAGUGGGGAGUUUGAAUCCAGGUUCAGUGAUGUGAAUGAACAUAAGGGCAUUUUUAAUCUUAGUGAAAAUCCCUUUCAUGUGGAUAUAUCCUCUCUUACACCAACCAUCACACAGCUCUGCCCUAACAGCCGCGCCUCUCUUCAAAGUGAAAUAAUUGAGCUGCGAGCAAAUGACUUUCUCCAAGCUGAACACAGAGCAGGUGUUGGUAACUUCUGGAGCUUGGUUUCUGAAGCAGACUUUGCCAACUUCAAAGCACUCGUACAGAAGCUGAUGUCUUUCUUGGUGAGCACAUACACAUGUGAGUCAACAUUUUCAACCAUGAACAUUAUCAAGAGGAAACAGAGACACAGACUGACCAACGCUCACCUUGAAUGCCUCACUAUAAUCACAACAACAAGCUACAAAUACAACAUGAAGAAGGUUAAGGACAUGCAUGCCAGCUUCUGCUCUUCCCUCUAUUAAGGUAAAUAAACACUUUAAUUAAAGUGUGUUCUGUGGCACUUUGGAUGGAACAUGUUGGGAUUCAUUUUCAAUAAAAUUUUAAUGUAAAAUAUAUUGACUG